UACGUAGGGGGCAAGCGUUGUCCGGAAUCAUUGGGCGUAAAGAGCGCGUAGGCGGCCCUGUAAGUCCGCUGUGAAAGUCAAGGGCUCAACCCGUGGAUGCCGGUGGAUACUGCAGGGCUAGAGUCCGGAAGAGGCGAGUGGAAUUCCUGGUGUAGCGGUGAAAUGCGCAGAUAUCAGGAGGAACACCGAUGGCGAAGGCAGCUCGCUGGGACGGUACUGACGCUGAGGCGCGAAAGCGUGGGGAGCAAACAGG
rnacentral:rRNA from 1 species